AACAACGAUAGAGAACAGUUUUGCAACUGAGUUCGUCGAAGAGUCGUGUGGAGAAACUUCGGGACUGAGAAAGCGUUAAUCACACUACGCCCGUAGAAGCCCUGUUUUUGCACCGAAGGACCCGGGUUCGAUUCCCGGCACCUCCACUU
rnacentral:tmRNA from 1 species